ACUGGAUGAUUCAUCUUCGUCAUGUAAGCUCAUUAGAUGUAUGCAAUUGGCACUGCUAUGUGUGCAGGAAAAUCCUACAGAUAGGCCGUCAAUGGUGAAAGUUUUUACUAUUCUCAAGAACGAAAACAGUGCUGCAAUCUCUGUACCUAAGCAGCCUGCAUAUUCAAUAACAAGAUACGAAAGGAAGGAAAGUAUAGACAUUGGGAGGAAGAAAGUUUUUUCUGUUAACGAUGCAUCGAUAACCCAAGUGGAACCUCGAUGACUGACAGCUUAUGCAUUUGGGAAACAUUUAUGUAAAAGGAUCUAUUGAAGCAAUGGUUAGCAUGUAGCAAUCACAUGUUUUAUUAUUAUUAUUAUUAUUAUUAUUAUUAUUAUUAUUAUUAUUAUUAUUUGGAUGUAAUGAUGUAACUUAGUUGUAUUCCAACUAAGUUUGUUAGUGGUAGUAAGUGGUGAUUUAUUUUAAGUGGAUGUAAUGAUGAAACUUAGUUGUAUUCCAACUAAGUUUGUUAGUGGUAGUAAGUGGUGAUUUAUUUUAAGUGGAUGUAAUGUUGAAAUUUAGUUGUAUUCCAACUAAGUUGUCAAGUUGUAAGCUUGUAUAAAUAGGCUUUAUGCCAUUUUAAAAAAAUAUGAAUUAAUUCAAUCAAGAUUUCAUCCAUAUACUCUCUAUUUUAGCUUUGCUUAAAAUUUAUUUCAUUUUUCUUCUUUGUUUCUACCGCAAGUCUCGAUUCUUGCUCGGCAAGCUUUUUGUUGAACCUUGCUAUUUGUUGUACUUAGCUCCAACAAUUGGUAUCAGAGCCUACUUCUUAAGGGAUCUGUUAUACAAAUUCAUGGCUUCAUCAAGCUUUUCACCAGCUGCACCUCAAGUCUUCAAUGGAGAAGGCUACCACAUAUGGGUGGUUAAAAUGAAGACCUACCUACAAGCUUUCGAUCUGUGGGAGGUAGUCAACUCAGAUGUUGAACCAGAGCCACUUAGAGGCAAUCCAACAGUAGCUCAAAUUAGGCAACAUGCUGAUGAGAGGACCAAGAGGCACAAAGCCAUGUCUUGCAUCCAGAACUCAGUGUCAGAUGUGAUUUUCACAAGGAUUAUGGCCUGUGAAUCACCAAAACAAGCCUGGGACAAGUUGCAAGAGGAGUUUCAAGGGACAGAGAGGACAAGGCAGCAACAGUUGCUGAACUUAAGGAGAGAUUUCGAGAAUUUGAAGAUGAAGGAAGAAGAAACUAUCAAGCAGUACUCUGACAGGAUUAUGGCUGUGGUUAACAGCAUUAGGCUCCUUGGAGAGCAGCUUAAGGAAGCUAGGAUAGUGGAGAAGGUUAUUGCAACUCUGCCCGAGAGGUAUGAGGCAAAAAUCUCAUCUCUCGAGGACUCAAGGGACCUGUACACCAUCUCCCUGACAGAGUUGAUCAAUGUUUUAUAUGCUCAAGAGCAAAGAAGAGCAAGCAGACUGGAGGAGCAUCAAGAAGGUGCCUUUCAGGCAAGAACAAACACUGCCUACAAAGGCAAGAAGGCCUGAAGAGACAAGCCAAUGACUGAUGUUGCAAGAAAAGAGGGUCAGACUUGCAAGCACUGCAGAAGGGCUGGUCAUCCAAAAGAAAAAUGCUGGUUCAAUCCAGAUGCUGUAUGUCAGCAUUGUAAAAAGAAGGGUCAUGUUGAGAGAGUCUGCAAGAGCAAGGCCAAAUCAAGGCAGAGUCUGUUUCAACAGAUGAAAGCUGAGGCUCGACUAGCUAAGGAGGACAGUGACCAAGAGGAGCAAGUCUUUGCUGUGUUAUGCUCAGCUGCUCAAGAAAGGUUCUCAUCUGGUUGGCUUCUAGACAGUGGAUGCACCAACCACAUGACACCUGAUGCUGCAAUCUUCAAGUCUUUAGACAGAAGCUGCAGAACUAAAGUCAAGAUAGGAAAUGGACAUUUUAUUCAAGCUGAAGGCAAGGGUGAUGUGCUGAUAUGCACCCCCACAGGUGCCAAAGUGAUUUCAAAUGUGCUUUUGGUGCCUGAAAUUGACAGAAACCUGCUCAGCAUAGCUCAGUUGCUGGAGAAAGGUUAUUCUGUUGUGUUCAAAGACAACCAAUGCCAAAUCAAUGAUCCAAGUGGAUCCAAGCUGAUGGCAGUUCCUAUGGCUAAUAAGAGCUUUGUAGUUGACUGGACCAGGGAGUCAAACAUUGCCUACACAGUCACAUCAGAUGAAUCCAAGCUUUGGCAUCAAAGACUGGGACAUGCCAACUUCAGAUCGAUGGCUCGAAUGGUCAGAGAGGACUUGGCUGAAAACUUCAUCAACUCAGUAGAUCAUGAUGAUGUGUGUGAAGUGUGUCAGCUAGGAAAGCAGGCCAGACUCCCAUUUCCCUCGAAUCAAGCCUGGAGAGCCUCUGAAAAACUCCAACUGGUGCACACUGAUGUGUGUGGCCCUAUGAGGACUGAGUCAUUAAGUGGAAACAGGUACUUCAUACUGUUCACUGAUGAUUUUUCAAGAUAUUGCUGGCUUUACUUCCUAAAACAGAAAUCAGAGGCGGCCUCAGUGUUUUGGAAGUUCAAGACUACUGCUGAGACUGAAACAGGUUGCAAGCUGAAGUCCAUAAGGUCUGAUAAUGGGACUGAGUACACCUCAGCUCAGUUCCAAGCCUUCUGUGAUAAGGCAGGCAUCAAACAUCAACUUACCAACACAUAUACACCUCAGCAAAAUGGUGUAAGUGAAAGGAAGAAUAAGAGUUUGAUGGAUAUGGCCAGGUGCUUGAUGAUUCAGAAGAAUCUGCCUAAAGCACUAUGGGCAGAGGCAGUUAACACUGCAAACUACAUUCAAAAUAGGCUUCCAACCAAGGCCUUGGAUCAGAAGACUCCAUUCGAAGCCUGGUUUGGAUUCAAGCCAUCACUGGCUCAUCUGAAGGUCUUUGGAUGCAUCUGUUAUGCUCAUGUACCUGCUGUCAAAAGGGACAAAUUGUCUGAAAGGGCUCGACCUGGUAUUUUGGUGGGCUACAGCACUGUUAAGAAGGGCUAUAGGAUCUUGGAUCCUUCAACAAAGAAAGUGUCAGUCAGUAGGGAUGUGGUAUUUGAUGAAAAGUCAUGUUGGAACUGGGAAAAACAUGAACCUGAGGAAGUUUCAGAAGGACUUGCAGCAGAUCAAGUUGAGCCAGAUCAAAAUGUUCCUGAAAUGGACAUUGAUGAUGAACCAGUUAGAGGAACAAGACCAUUGACUGAGAUUUAUGAAAGAGCUCAUGUAGCCAUAGCUGAACCAAGCAAUUUUGAAGAGGCUGAAACUCAGCAAGAGUGGAAGCAGGCAAUGGCUGAGGAGAUUAGCAUGAUUGAGAAGAACCAGACCUGGGAAUUAGUUGAAAGGCCAGUCAAAAGGAAGAUAAUUGGGGUGAAAUGGGUGUACAAAGCCAAGCAAAAUGCUGAUGGUACCUUGAACAAACUGAAAGCAAGGCUAGUUGUCAAGGGGUUCAGUCAGAGGUAUGGCCUGGACUACCUGGAGACCUUUGCACCAGUGGCCAGGCUAGACACCAUCAGAUUACUGAUUGCCUUAGCAGCACAGCUCGAGUGGAAGAUCCAUCAACUCGAUGUAAAAUCAGCCUUUCUGAAUGGUUUCUUAGAUGAAGAGAUCUAUGUUGAACAACCACAAGGGUUUGAGAUAGCUGGCAGAGAGCAUAUGUCUACAAACUGAAGAAGGCCCUAUAUGGCUUAAAACAGGCUCCAAUGGCCUGGUACAGCAGAAUCGAUGGCUACUUGACUAAUUUGGGAUUCGAUCGAAGCAAGAGUGAGCCAACACUGUAUGUCAAGAAGCAAGGGACACAAACACAGCUCAUUGUAUCCCUAUAUGUUGAUGACCUGCUGGUGACAGGAGGAGAUCGAGCAGUGCUGGUCGAUUUCAAGACCAAGAUGCAAGAAGUAUUUGAAAUGUCUGAUCUAGGGGAAAUGUCUUAUUUCCUUGGAAUAGAGGUGACUCAAGCACAAAAUGGGAUAUUUCUAAGUCAGAGAAACUUUGCCACAAAGAUUCUGACCAAGUUCUCCAUGCAAAACAGUAAAGCAACUAAAACACCUGUUGCUGUUGGAGAAAAACUAUCGAGCCAAGGUGAUUUUGAGAAGGUUUGUGAAACAACCUACAGAAGUCUAGUUGGUUGUCUGUUAUAUUUAACUGCCACUAGACCAGACAUAAUGUAUGCUGUAGGAUUGCUCUCAAGGUUCUUGCAUUGUUGCAAUAAAAAGCAUUUACAAGCUGCUAAGAGAGUGCUUAGAUAUGUCAAAGGCACUUUGAGCUAUGGUUUAAGGUACAGCAAGGAAGGAAAUCUGAAGCUGGUUGGCUACACUGAUAGUGACUGGGCUGGCUCGAUAGAUGACAUGAAAAGCACCUCAGGGUAUGCUUUCAACCUUGGUUCAGCCAUGUUUUGCUGGAGCUCGAAGAAGCAAAGUCUGGUGGCUCAAUCUACUGCUGAAGCAGAAUAUGUGGCAGCUGCAAGUGCUGUCAACCAAGCCAUUUGGCUAAGGAAAAUCUUAGCUGAUUUGAAAGUGCAUCAAAAGGAAGCUACUGAGAUCUUCUGUGACAACCAAUCUUCAGUUGCAAUUGCUAAAAAUCCAGUGUUCCAUGGAAGAACAAAGCAUUUCAGCAUCAAGUUGCAUGUUGUUCGAGAAAUGGAGCAAGCUCAGGAAGUGAAGCUGAUCCAUUGUAAUUUUGAGGAUCAACUUGCAGACAUUUUGACUAAAGCCCUUAAUUUCACAAGGUUCAAAUGUCUAAGAAGGAAGCUAGGUGUUUGCUCCAUGCAAACCAAGGAGGAGUAUUGAAGCAAUGGUUAGCAUGUAGCAAUCACAUGUUUUAUUAUUAUUAUUAUUAUUAUUAUUAUUAUUAUUAUUUGGAUGUAAUGAUGUAACUUAGUUGUAUUCCAACUAAGUUUGUUAGUGGUAGUAAGUGGUGAUUUAUUUUAAGUGGAUGUAAUGAUGAAACUUAGUUGUAUUCCAACUUAAAUUGUCAAGUUGUAAGCUUGUAUAAAUAGGCUUUAUGCCAUUUUAAAAAAAUAUGAAUGAAUUCAAUCAAGAUUUCAUCCAUAUACUCUCUAUUUUAGCUUUGCUUAAAAUUUAUUUCAUUUUUCUUCUUUGUUUCUGUCGCAAGUCUCGAUUCUUGCUCGGCAAGCUUUUUGUUGAACCUUGCUAUUUGUUGCACUUAGCUCCAACAGGAUCAUGUUUUUUUUUUUUACCAACCUUUGGUCAUGCAAAUAUAGAUAUUAAAGAUUGGAGCAAGUUGUUGAAUCUAUAGGUUUAAUGGUGAUUGAUUUUCAAGCCAAAAAGAACAGGAAAAGAGGAAAAUUUUCAUUACAAGCUGAAGUUGGAACAAAUAACUAACCUUAUAUUGAGUCUGGGUUUUCCUUUUUUGCGUAUGAAAGCUGCAUGUCCCUUCAAAACUUCAACUUUGUUACACCUCAGGAUAUUUUCCUCUUUCCUUACAAUAUUCAAAGAUUUUCAUAUUUUCUUCAACGUCGUAUGUUUUCUGCUAUGCAAUCACCAUGAAAACAGAGAAAUAAGGAACCAAAGCUCUCGACUCCAAGUCCAAACCACACCAUCAGCAAGAAAGAAGGUAUGAACCCCAUACCAACAGGUAGUGAUGUUGGAAUCAGUACCGUAUUAAUCGGUUGAACUAAAAAUUCGUAUUAAUCGGUUCAACUAAAAAUCGGUAAUUAAUUAUUUACUAAUUUGAACUUUGAAGAAAAAUGUAAUAACUCAAUAUCCUUUUAUAUAUAUAUAUAUAAAAGGACUAUGAACAAAUUUGUCAAUUGUCGUUUCAUUGUCUCCUGCGAUAAUUAUAUCAUCCCAAAUGUAACAUCAUUUGAAUUGAACAAACAUCGAUGCAUUUCAUCGAGAUAAUGAAAACAAUGGUAACAUCAUUUGAUAUAUAGCCCUUAAAGAUUGCUUUAACCUGUAAAGUGGCUCAUGAAAUUUACACACAAGGUUUUUACCUCUAAACGUGUUGCUUAUAAAUUGGGGGUUGUUGCAUAUAUACAUUUUCUAUAAUAUCCCCUAUUGACAUCUAUUUUCUAUGGAUGGAUGAAAAUUUAAUUAAAAUUUUCAAAGCAGUCUAUUUUUAUGUCUCAAAACAUACUAACUUUGAAGCUAAAAAUCUCAAAAUAAUUUAUGACUUGUCUCAAGACAUAAAUAUCCUUGUCUCAAGGUAUGAAUUUGAAAUUUGUUGAUAUUUGAGUUUAGAUUCGAAUUCUAACUCUAAUAUUAACCCAUGCAAUUCCGUAAAUUGAUAAAAUGAAAUCAUUGAGUUUAUAAAUAAUAUAUAUGUGAAUUAUAUGAUAAUUAAAUUGAAUGUAUUUAUGCUAUAGUAGCUUGAGUUGUGAUAAGUCAUAAAAGUAACAUAUUUUAAUCCUAUUUUUAAUGCGUUUCUGGAUUAUUAAUGAUGUAAAUUAGUGAAUUUGAUGCUCCUAAUCCUUUAAAUUCAUGUUUCUAUCACUACAUCAAAACAGGCUUUUAGCGACGUUUUUUUAAGCCUUUAGCAGCGCUUUUUAGCGCCGCUAAAAGUAUUUGCGACGCUUUCAGGAGAGCAUUUAGGAGCAAAAGGAGCGAAAAACGAGUCAAAAUGGGACGAAUAAAGUUGUUUUCAGGAUCCACAUGACCUAGGCAUAUCCAUACGGGCUGGCCACACGCCCAUGUGCUAGCCCGUGUUGAUAUCGCACACUGUUUCCCAAACACGCAGAAAAACUCAAUUUUUAGACUUUCUUAGUAUUCUAAAGUCUAUAAAUGUCAAUUAGAAGAAGACUUAAGGGGGCAUUCAGAGAAGAUUGAAGAAAAGACUCGAAAAACGCCAUCGGAUUCAACUCGAAAGCGGAUCUCCUUCAAGAUUGAAGAUCUCCAUUUAAUUUCAUUCGAAGUUUUAUUGAGUUUCUUUAUGUCUUGUUGUUAUCCUAUUUUUGAGAUGUUUUCAUUCCAGAUUAUGAACUAAAUUUCCUAGAUACCUAGGGAAGAUAAAACCUAUGAUGAAUCUUAUUAUUUGAUUUUUGAUUUACAUGGUAAAUAUUUGAUUCUUGUUCUGAAUUAUGUACGCUUAUUUCGUGUUUUAAUAUUUUUAUGAUAUUAAUUCAUGUUUAAUUUAUUUAUUUCAAUGGAGCAAAAAUCCCUGUUUAAGAGUAGAUCUAGCAUAAUUGAGUGGAAUUGCAUGCAAUCCUAGAAAUAGGACGACAUAAAUCUACCGAAUUAGAGUCAAAUCUAAUAGGGGAAUCCAUAGAUCGAGUUAAUGCGACAAUAGGGGCUUUAAUUAGAAAGAGAUUUUAAUUAAUCAACCUAGAGCCAGUUGUUCUUACUCUCGAAAGAGAUAUUAACAUAAUUUAGGGAUUUCUACGGAUUAAGACACAAGUGAAUAAAUUGUUUACAUCGAAUUCAUAAUAAUAGGUGAAGUCUAGGUGGAUCCUUUCUUGGGUAUUAUUUGUCUCAUUAAGUAUCAUCGAUUAUUUUCCUAUUUCAUUCUCUGUUACGUUCAUAGUUAAAUUAGAUUAGUAAAUUUAGAUUAAAAACAAUCACUCCAAUUCAUCGGCUAAAUAAUAGAAAAAGUAAUUACUAGUACUUUUAGUUCUCAUGGAUACGAUAUUCCCUACUCACCAUAGCUAUACUAUUGUUCGAUAGGUGCGCUUGUCUUUGUCAUAAUUAUAGUUAGUUUAGUGACCUUCAAGUAGUUUCGACAACAUAACAUGACAUCACAUGUUCGGAACCGACAAUCAGAUCUAGAGUGUUACAAAUUCCACAUUUACUCACAUUAUAUGUUUUUUGAUAUCUCAAAAAAUGAAUUCUACCGUCACUAAAUGUAUGAAAUUAAUCAUACAACAUCUGAUCAUUUUGACCAUCCGAUCCUUUAUGAAACAAGAGCCAUAAAAAAAUUAUUAAUGAAACAAGAGCCUUAGUCGUAUUUUUAGUUAGUCACGUGAGACACAUCAGCUAUCUUUUGAUGAGUAAAACCAGGAAGGAAAAAAGAAAGGUCUAAGUUGAAGCUAGACAAGACAAGUCUCAAAAGGGGGUUUACAAAAAGAGUAAGGUUAUGACCAAAUUCGCCCUGAUAUGUUCGCCUGUGAUAUGUUUGCUAGUGAUGUGUUCAAGAAGAACAUAUAGGCGUCAACCAUGCCAGUAAAUUUCAUGAGCUUACAUGAAACUCAAGGAGUUAUUUACGUGCAUUACUCCCUAUUACUCGUAAUAUUAAUAAUAUAUUAAUAUGUUAUCAUUUAAUAGUUGAUGUAUGGAAUCUCACUAAGUUCAUUCAAACUUAUGAGUGGCUUGCCUUAAGUGCAGGAUCCAAGGCUGUUAUGAAAAGUGUGGGAAUGGACCAAGGCAGAUUUUGCGGAAUCCUUAUGGGCUUUUUUUGUUCUGGUAUCAUGCAUAUAGAGGGGCUCCAUUAUAGGCUACACCUUGAGGUUGAAUUUGUAAUUAAGUAGAAUCCAAUUUUUCAGAAUAAGUGUAUAAGUAAAUUCAGUGGAUGAGUAUGAUUGUAAAGAACAUUAAUCUCCUUAGUUAGGUAAUCAUAUAAUAACAAGUUUAAUGUGAUGUUCAUUUAUGGAAAGGUUAUGGAUAAUUAAUUGAUUGGAUUAAAGUUGUACGACAACAUAAUAUUAAAUCUGGCAUGAAAUUAAAUAAAUUAAGAAUUUGUUGUUAGAUAAUACGGUUCAAUUAUGACGUUCAACACCCGGACCUGACGAUUGGGUUCGCGAAGUGGCAAGGUGCAAGUUAUAGCUAAAACUUUGGUGCAUGCACAUUUUGUCUAGUUUGCAUGCUAGUCUUUUGUUUAGUUCUUUGUAAUUUCAUUUAGUUAAGAAUGGAUUUGGUUUGCUUUCGUUUUGAUGUGUUUAAGUGCUGAUUGACAUAAUCAAGUUAUGUGCAAGCAAAGUUUUACAAGUUACAAGGUUAUUAGUGGGAGUAGUUAAAGGUUCGAUUGUAUUUGGUAUUGGUUUGACAAUAUAUGUUGUAUUUUUAAAGAAAUGAAAUACAUAUUGUUAUAAUAGGCGCCAACAAUAUAACCAAUGUAAAAUAAUAAGAAAAGAAAAAAUAUAAAUAUAAAUUUUACGUAAAAAUCUUUUGGGGGAAAAAAUCAUGGAUAAAAGAGGAGAAAUUUAUUAAUGUUAAAAAUUAAAUGAUACAAAAUGAGUUUCAACUAUAUUUAUUUAAAUGCUAAAAAACCUUAUUUUAAUCUAUGUAAAAUAAAAAAUUACAAUUUUAUACGGAUUCUUCUUAUACAGCACAUAUAAUUUGAGCAACGUUUGUUUUUGCUCCUUAAAACUAUAGCCCUUGGAUGAUGAAGUUCUGGCUAGGGCUGAUGGGAUCAAUUUGUAUAAAUCAUAUAGUAAUUCAAAAUUAUCAGAAAUGUAAGAAAACGUCAACUCUGAAAUUCAAUUUGUGUAAAUCUUUUCGUCAGUCCAAAACAGUUCGAUGAUGAUGAUAUUCACAUGGCGAAAUAGAAGACAGUGUGAGCACGGAAAGAAAGGCGGUCCCGCUUUAUGUGGUGCUGGCAAUCGAUAGCUUCAUUAGUCAACAGUCAACUCUGAAAUUAGUUAGCCUUGAAAGUGACCCACCUUUACUAUAUACUCGCACACUUUCUAUUUUCAUCCAUAGGGAAGUGCUAUACGAAAUCUUGUUCCAUUAUGAAAGAAACCCAAUGCAUUGGUGAUGGCAGAUGAGAAUUUCAUCUUUUUUUGCUCUUUCUCUCACAACCUACUGUUCAAGUUCAAAAAAAGUGAUGGUCAAGUUUUAUUUCAAAAAUCGAACCCUUUAAUUUGAUUUAAAUUUCCACCAUCUGAAAUGAUCCAGUCCAAUCUCUCUUUGUCUCUUCAAAUCCAACUUUGUUACGGUCAAGGAAGUUUCCUCUUUUGUUUACACAAUUGAAUAGAGUUCCAGUUUUCUCCGAGAACAAAAUAAAUGUUUCCCACUAACAGUAAAAAGAGAUUGAUUUUUCAAUGGCUUCUAAUAAACCCAUUUUUUUCUCCUUCUUCUUCCUCUUGCUGUUUCUCUCAUUGAACCUGCAAAGCUCAGUCUCACAAACAUGGAUCAAAGCUGGUUACUGGGACUCUAGCGCUUCCCUUCCAGUUUCUGAUAUAAACUCUGCUCUUUUCACUCAUCUUUUUUGCGCUUUUGCUUAUGUAAACUCAACCUCCUAUCAGCUCUUUGUCAACUCCUCAAAUGAACAACAUUUCUCUAACUUCACCAGUACUGUAAAACUAAAGAAUCCAUCCGUUACUACUAUUUUGUCCAUUUGGGUUGGAAGAACUGAGUCAGAGUCUACCAACUUUUCUUUGAUGGUUAAUGAAACUUCUCGUCGAAAAGCUUUCAUUGAGUCUUCAAUCAAAACAGCCAGGCUUUAUGGUUUUCAUGGUUUAGACCUUUAUGGAGUUGAGCCUAGGAAUGGCAUCAAUAUGAGCAGUUUUGGUACUUUCUUGGCCGAGUGGCGAGCUGAGGUAGCAUCCGAGUCAAGAAACUCCGGUAAGACACAGUUGCUAUUAACUAUGUCGGCUAAUCGCUUGCCGAUUGUCAACUCAGUGAGUUAUCCUAUUGAGUCUACAAAGCUAAACCUGGAUUGGGUGCAUAUUAGAGCAUAUGACUACUAUGUGCCAACAUUAGAUAGGUUUACUGGUUUUCAUGCUGCUUUAUAUGACCCAUUAGGAAGGGCCAACACUGAUGAUGGUAUAAAGGAAUGGUUAAAGAGAGAAUUCCCUGCUGAUAAGCUAGUUUUAGGUUUGCCUUACCAUGGCUAUGGAUGGAUGCUUGUUAACUCUGGUGACAGUGGCAUUGAUUCAGCAGCUUCAGGGCCGGCUGUCACCAUUGAUGGUUCAAUGGGGUAUAAGUCAAUCAAAUCAUUCAUUCUAAAUUAUGGUUAUGGCGUUGAAGCUGUGUAUAAUUCUACUUAUGUGGUGAAUAUUUUCAAAAUCGGGUCGAAUUGGAUCAAUUUCGAUGAUGUGGAAGCCAUUAAAGCUAAGGUUUCUUAUGCCAAGGUAAAGGGUCUACUUGGUUACAGUGCCUUUCAACUUUCCAAUGACGAUAAUUGGGUGCUUUCACAAGCUGGUAAUAUGGUUCUCUCCCUUUAGAACAUAUCAAAAUUUUCAGAAAAUACUGAAUUUUUAAACAUUGACUUGGAAAAAGACUUCAACUAGCAUUAUUUCUUGCCUCUAUUUGGUAUAUUUGACUUGGAAAAAUACAUUACCUGUCAUUUCUUUUUGUCUCUUUUACGGCAUUUCAGUUGGACAAUAUGCCACAUAGGUGUCUUGUCAUUAUUAUGCCAUGUUUGCAUGCUAAAAUAUUAAAGAACAGAGCUUAAGUUUGCUAAAAUUCUGAAAUCUUUACAAAACAUUGAACUGUAAUUAAUGUAAUGAAUAAUGUAUCGAUGUUCCGCAGCUUGUGGAAUAGGCACCAGUCAGCCAAAGAAACAUCGAUUAUUGGUUAUUGUUUCGGUUACAGUUGCUGCAAUGGUUUUCCUGAAGAUAGCUAUCAUCUGUUACCUGCAAAAGAAAAUAUUCAAAUCACAAGGUAAGAAUGGACAUGUGAGAAUCUGCAAUGAUUCCAAACAGUUAUCGAACAUUGACUCGUGAAGGUUUCAACUGCAGGGCUUUGGUGUGCAUUGAAAAUGUUGGUUUCUUGGAUAAGAACCAAAAUAUCAGCUGAAAAAAGGCAUGAAAACGAUGAUCCUAAUCUCCAAGUUUUCAGUUUCUAUAGCAUUAAAGCUGCCACUAAUAACUUUUCAAAGUAAGCUCGGAGAAGGUGGAUAUGGACCUGUUUACAAGGUAAUGUACUAUUCCUCUAUUAGCCACUUUCGGGGACUUUGCGGUAAUGUAUAAUGUGUUUGAAGAACCACACGUUUGCCGCUUACCUGCAGGAGGUUCUGAAAUUCCAAGUACAUUCAAAGGAUUAAUCGUUUAUCAUACCUUUGUUUGGUUUUUAAAACUAACUGCAAUGUGGAUUGUGGACUAUAACAGGGAAAGUUACCAAACGGGCAGGAAAUAGCGGUGAAGAGGCUCUCGAAAAGCUCGAAUCAAGGGUUUGAGGAGUUCAAGAAUGAGGUCACUCUUACAGCUAGGCUUCAACAUGUGAAUCUAGUUCGAGUUCUGGGAAUUUGUACUGAGAAGGAAGAAAAAUUGCUGGUUUACGAGUUCAUGCCAAACAGAAGCUUGGAUUUCUACCUCUAUGGUAAACAAUGCUUAAUUUUUUCAACUUAGUAUGAGUGUUAAGACAUUUUUAUGGCAUGUUAUUUCAUAAACUUCUUCAGCAAAACACAUUGUUCAUGCACUUAACCGAUGCAGAUCCAUUUAAAAGGCAUCUGUUAGAUUGGAGAAGACGAGUCUCGAUAAUCGAAGGCAUUACACAAGGGCUUCUAUAUCUCCAAGAAUACUCAAAUUACACUAUAAUUCAUCGUGACAUAAAGGCGAGCAAUAUCUUAUUAGAUUAUGAAAUGAACCCAAAGAUAUCAGAUUUCGGGAUGGCUAAAUUUUUCAAGAAGGAUGAACUUGAAGCAAACACCGGCAGAAUUGUUGGGACAUAGUAAGUGAAUCAGACGGUCUCAAAUGAUACAUAUCCGAUUGUUUUCCAUCUUUUCCAUUGAAUCUAUACAUAGUUAUUAAUUCAUUGAUUCAAUGCAGUGGCUAUGUUCCUCCGGAAUACGUUAGGAAAGGAAUAUACUUGUUGGAGCUGAGAGCAACUAACAGCAAAUUUCAGCAAGAAACUUGAGCAGCAAGUGUCGUGACUUGCAGCAAAAACAAGCAGAAAACAAAACAGAACUUUUAAAGUAAAAGCAAGAAAAAAUGAAGAAAGUUUUUGAAUGAAAACUUGAUUACAUUUUGUUCAUUCAUUCAUUAUACAAAUGGCUUAAAGCCAAUACAUAAAUCAAGCUUCUAGCUUGUCAAAAUAGUAGGUUAACCAAAACAAUACCUACCACCACUAGGUUUCCUAGUAAAUUGGAAUAAUAACUUGUACAAAUGAAUAAAGCUGGUGAACAGCUCAAUCACUAUCAAGAUUACAUCAAAUAUCAUCUUAUCAUAGUUCAAAGUGAACUAAAUUACAUUACAUAAACAAAAAAAAUUCAAAAUGAAGCUAAACAUCCUUGCUUUCUCGUGCAAACUGUUGCUUCUGCAUGGUGGUCUUCAAUGCUGCAUGCUAACCACCUUUCAACACUCCUCCUUGGUUAGCAUGUUGCUGACUCCCAUCUUCAUUCUUAAGCUUUGAAACCUUGAAACAUUAAGAGGUUUUGUUAAAAUAUCUGCUAAUUGUUCAUCAGAACUGCAAUGAACCAGUUUUACUUCAUGAGCUUGUUGCAUUUCUCGAACUGCAUGAAGUUUAAUGCUAAAAUGUUUUGUCCUCCCAUGAAAAACAGGAUUCUUUGCAAUUGCAACAGCCGAUUGGUUGUCACACAUUAUCUCUGUUGCUUCCUCUUGUUCAAGGUUGAGGUCGAUUAGGAUUUUUCUAAGCCACAUGGCUUGAUUAUCAGCUGCAGCAGCUGCUACAUAUUCUGCUUCUGCAGUAGAUUGAGCAACCAGUGCUUGUUUCUUUGAACUCCAACAAAAUACUGCUGAGCCAAGAUUAAAAAGAUAGCCUGAAGUGCUUCUCAUAUCGUCUAUCGAGCCAGCCCAAUCACUGUCACUGUAACCAACCAAUUUCAGGUGUUUUGUUUUGGUAUACAGCAUUCCAUAGCUCAGGGUUCCUUUGAUGUAUCUGAGAACUCUCUUAGCAACUUUAAAAUGACUUUCAUUGCAGCAAUGCAUGAACCUCGAGAGUAAGCUCACAGCAUACAUUAUAUCUGGUCUAGUGGCUGUUAAAUAUAAUAAACAACCAACUAGACUCAUAUAAGUUGUCUCACAUACUGGUUCAAAAACACUUUGACUCGAUAGCCUUUCUCCAACAACAAUUGGUGUGCUGGUGGCUUUGCAAUUUUCCAUUGAAAAUUUGCUGAGAAUUUUCAUGGCAAAGGUCUUUUGACUUAGCCAAAUUUCUUUCUUUGAUUGUGUUACUGUUGGAAUAUUUUCAAAUAUUUAUAGUAUCCCAAUAACUAUAAAUGAAUGGGUGUAAUUAAUCAAAAGAUAAAACUUUUGGUCAUUGGUCAAAAGUUAUAUCAUUUGAUUUUUUAAAAAAGAAUUAUAACUAUUCAAAGAAAUAUUAUUUGAAUAGUUACAAAAUUAAAUGAAUAAUUAUUAUUAUUUGUUUAUUCAUAAAGACACCUAUUGAAAGAUGUCUCUAUGAAGAGACAUGAAAAUUCCUAUAAAUAGGAAUGGGAUUUCAUUUGGAAAUCAUAUCAACAAAUUCUAAUAUUAUUUCUUCUCUUCCUUCAUUUUCUAAUAUUAUUAGAUUAUUCUAUAAAGUAUUGCUGCAGAAAUACUUUGUAGAAAUUGAGUUUUUGUUAUACAUUACUCAGUGCAUAGUGGACUAUUCUCGUCAGUGCAAAACGCAAAUAGUCAUUGGCUUCAUUGUAUCCUCGAGGUUAAUUUGCUUGGAACUCGUUUGCACACUGAAGAUAAGUGGGGGCGAAUAUAACCUUAAAGAUAGUGGCUUGAUACACGCCUUGGAGCCUGUCCUAUUUCUUCUUUUUCUUUUCGAGUUCCGAUCGUGUGUUCGAGUUUUUUCCUUACCGGAGUUUUGUACUAACAAUUUUAAGGUUAUAUUUCAUGAUGACUACCACAACACAUGAAAGUGGAACACUAAGGGAGUUGGCUUCCAACUUUGUUAAACUUGAUCGUUUUGAUGGUGGCAAUUUUCGACGAUGGCAGAAAAAGAUGCACUUUUUGUUAUCAACUUUGAAGAUUGCUUAUGUUUUGGAUACUCAAGACCUGAAGAGAAUGAAAAUGAAUCUGUUGCUGCAACCCGAGAAAGACAAAAAUGGGACAAUGCUGAUUACAUGUGCAUGGGCCACAUAUUGAAUGGUUUAUCUGAUGGUUUGUUCGACACCUACCAAAACGACGUCACCGCUAAAGAAUUAUGGGACAAAUUGGAGGCAAGAUACAUGACCGAAGAUGUUACAAGUAAGAAAUUUCUUGUCAGUCAUUUCAAUAAUUAUCAAAUGGUUGAUGGUCGUUCUGUUAUGGAACAAUUUCGUGAUAUUGAAAAGAUGCUGAAUCAAUUUAAGCAAUAUGAUAUGAAAAUGGAUGAAAUGAUUGUGGUAUCCUCCAUAAUAGACAAACUUCCUCCAUCUUGGAAAGACUUUAAAAGAAGUCUAAAACAUAAGAAAGAGGAAAUAUCUCUUGAGGCUUUGGCAAAUCAUCUUCGUAUUGAAGAAGAGUAUCGAAAACAAGAUCAGAACCUAAAUUCUGAAAAUGCCAAAGUACAUGUUACGGAGGAAGUACAGACUACUAAACCAUUCAAGAGAAAGUUCAAUCAGACUGAUAGAGCACCUAAGUUCAAAAAGAAACAAAAGGGCUCAUGCUAUCAUUGUGGAAAGCCGGGACAUUUCAAGAAUGAAUGUCGAUUUUUAAAGAAGAAAUCAUCUUCUAAGGCUGAUAAUAACGAAAAGUUCGUUGCAAUGAUAUCUGAAAUUAAUAUGGCACAAGAUGAUAAUACAUGGUGGAUUGAUACCGGAGCAACCAAACAUGUGUGCAAAGACAAAAGCAUGUUCACAAAGUUCACACAAUGUGAAAAUGACAAUGUCUUGUACAUGGGAAAUUCUUCCACCGCAACAAUUAAAGGCAAAGGGUCUGUUGAACUACAAUUCACUUCUGGAAAGGUUUUAACCUUAAAUGAUGUAUAUUAUGUACCAAAAGUUAGGAAAAAUUUAGUGUCUGGAAGUCUGUUGAAUAAGUUUGGUUUCAAACUUGUUUUUGAGGCAGAUAAGUUUAUUUUGUCUAAGGGAGGAAUUUUUGUGGGAAAAGGGUAUAUGUAUGAAAGCAUGUUCAAACUUAAUAUUAUUAAUAAGAAUAAAAAUACUAUUUCUGCUUAUAUGGUUGAAUCAUUUUGUUUGUGGCAUUAUAGAUUAGGUCAUUUGAAUUAUAGAAAAUUGAAUGACAUGUAUAAAUUAGAUUUAAUUCUUGUUUUUAAUAAUAAUAUUGAAAAAUGCAAUACCUGUAUGUUGACUAAAAUUACAAGAAAUCCUUUCCCUAAGGUUAAAAGGAAAACAAAAUUGCUUGAUUUGAUACAUAGUGAUUUAUGUGACUUGCAUAAUACUCCUACAUUAGGUGGAAAGAAAUAUUUUGUUACUUUUAUUGAUGAUUGUUCUAGAUAUUGUUAUGUAUAUUUAUUGCAUUCAAAAGAUGAAGCGCUUGAUAAAUUUAAAGUUUAUAAAUCUGAAGUUGAACUUCAGUGUGAAUCAUUUAUCAAGUGCUUAAGAUCGGAUAGAGGUGGAGAAUACUAUAAUCCAAGUUAUUUUGAACUCACUGGAAUUGUCCAUCAAGUUUCAGCCCCUUACACACCACAACAAAAUGGUGUAGCUGAAAGGAAAAAUAGAGUCUUGAUUGAAAUGGUAAAUUCAAUGUUAUCAUAUUCAGGUCUUGGACAGGGUUUUUGGGGAGAAGCUGUUCUAACAGCUUGUCAUAUAUUGAAUAGAGUUCCUAAUAAGGAAACUAAAAUAACCCCCUAUGAACAAUGGAAGAAAAGGAAACCAAACCUUAAUUAUUUAAAGGUUUGGGGUUGUAGAGCUAUUGUAAAAGUUCCAACACCUAAACGUAAAAAGUUAGGUGAAAGAGGAAUUGAAUGCAUAUUUAUAGGUUAUGCACAUAAUAGCAAGGCAUAUAGGUUCAUAGUAAUUGAACCAAAUGAUUCAAUUUCAAUUAAUACGGUUAUUGAAUCAAGAGAUGCUAUUUUUGAUGAAAAUAGAUUUAAUUCUAUAUCAAGACAAUUACAACCACAACAAUUGAUUCAUUCUUCAAAUGAAAAUGAGAUUCCAUUGAAACAAAUUGAUAAUAAUGAUGAAUCUUGUCAAGAAUUAAGAAGAAGUAAGAGGAUUAAAAAGGUUAAAGAUUUUGGACCAGAUUUCAUUAUGUUUCUUGUAGAAGGAAAAUGUGAAAGUAUAUGCAAUAAGAUACCUUAUUGUUAUAAUACCGAAUCUGAUCCUAUUACAUUUGAAGAAGCAGUGAAAUUGCAAUAAGAUACCUUAUUGUUAUAAUACCGAAUCUGAUCCUAUUACAUUUGAAGAAGCAGUGAAAUCUCAAGACUCUGCUUUUUGGAAAGAAGCAAUAAAUGAUGAAAUGGAUUCAAUAAUGGGAAAUCAAACUUGGAUCUUAGUUGAUCUUCCACCAGGUUCCAAACCAAUAGGUUGUAAAUGGAUCUUCAAAAAGAAAAUGAAGGUCGAUGGAACCAUUGAUAAAUUUAAAGCAAGGUUGGUAGCAAAAGGUUUUACACAAAGACAAGGUAUUGAUUACUUUGAUACCUAUGCUCCAGUAGCAAGAAUUGCUACAAUUAGACUAUUAAUAUCACUUACCUCUAUAUAUAAUUUGGUUGUUCACCAAAUGGAUGUUAAAACUGCAUUUUUAAAUGGUGAAUUGGAAGAGGAAGUGUACAUGGAGCAACCGGAAGGAUUUGUUGUUCCAGGACAAGAGCAUAAGGUAUGUAAGCUUGUUAAAUCUUUAUAUGGGCUUAAACAAGCACCAAAACAAUGGCACCAAAAGUUUGACAAGGUUGUUUUAGCUAAUGGCUAUAAAAUAAAUGAAUCCGAUAAGUGCAUAUAUAGUAAAUUUGAUAAUGGAAAGGGUGUUAUAAUUUGCUUAUAUGUAGAUGACAUGCUCAUUUUUGGCACGGAUUUGGAACAAAUAGAAAACACAAAGAAAUUCUUGUCAAACAACUUUGCUAUGAAGGAUAUGGGUGUAGCAGAUGUUAUUCUUGGGAUUAAAAUAACCCGAGAUGAAAGCACUAUAGCUUUAUCACAAUCACAUUACAUUGAAAAUGUGCUUAAAAAGUUUGAUCUUUUCAACUGUAUACCAGCAUCUACACCCAUGGAUCCUCAGUUAAAAUUAGUAUCUAAUGCUGGUAGGAAAAUUGAUCAAUUGAAAUAUGCAAGUCUAAUUAGUUGUCUUAUGUACAUAAUGACUUGUACAAGACCAGAUAUUGCAUAUGCUAUUGGAAAAUUGAGUAGAUACACAAAUAAUCCAAGUAGUUUGCAUUGGCAAGCUUUAAAUAGAGUACUUAGGUACUUAAAGAAAACUAUUAACUAUGGAUUGUGUUAUAAUGGAUAUCCUCCAGUUUUAGAAGGGUAUUCGGAUGCUAGUUGGAUUACAAGUUUGGAAGAUCAUGCAUCUACUAGUGGGUGGAUCUUCAUUCUUGGUGGAUGAGUCAUUUCUUGGGGUUCCAAGAAACAAACAUGUAUUACUGAUUCCACCAUGGCAGCAGAAUUUAUUGCAUUAGCCGCUGCAUCUAAAGAAGCAGAAUGGUUAAGAAAUUUGCUUUAUGAUGCACCUUUAUGGCUUAAGCCAAUUUCACCUAUUUCUAUCCGUUGUGAUAGUGAGGCUACUCUAGCAAAGGCAUAUAGCCAAGUAUAUAAUGGAAAGUCUAGACACAUUGGAUUAAGACAUAGUUAUGUCCGACAAUUAAUCUCUGAUGGAGUGAUCACUAUUAAUUAUGUGAGGUCAAGUGAAAAUUUGGCAGAUCAUUUGACAAAAUGUCUUGCUAGAGAUGCAGUAAAAAGGACCUCAAAAGGGAUGGGACUCAAGCCUAUUAAUUAGAGUCACCCAUGAUGGAAACUCGACUCAACGCUUGGUAUAACGUCAAGUCUUGAGUUCAAUGAGACAAAGUACAUCAUUAGUAUGUGACUGUUAGCACUAUAAAUAAAUCCAUCCUAAGAUUAAAGUGCUAGGUACCCGUAAUGAUAAGGGAAGGAUGAGUAAUGUACUCUUAAUGGACCCAUAACAUAAAUAUGUUAGAGUGUUAUAAUUACGGGAACACUUUUGAUGGGAUCUACCUAUGUGAGUGGAAGUGUGGCCGCUUCUAGGAGCUUAAGGGCUUGGUUCUGACAGCACUCAUGAAAAGAGGACAUAGACACAUGGCUAUAAUAGUGUCCCUAGAUACUCUGCAUUGACUGAUGUUGAAAUCAUUGUGUGAGAUGUGUUCAGUUAAUCAAAUGGAAUAGUUGGUUCAAAGCUUAGUCUACCAUACAAUUUCGAUUAACUUUAACAUGUUUUCACUAAGUGAAGGUUCAAUCGUAAGACACAUUUAUUUAUGCAAAUUGAUUUCCAAGAAUAUCAAAAUCUAAAUAUUUUGAAAAUGGGGGGAGAUUGUUGGAAUAUUUUCAAAUAUUUAUAGUAUCCCAAUAACUAUAAAUGAAUGGGUGUAAUUAAUCAAAAGAUAAAACUUUUGGUCAUUGGUCAAAAGUUAUAUCAUUUGAUUUUUUAAAAAAGAAUUAUAACUAUUCAAAAAAAUAUUAUUUGAAUAGUUACAAAAUUAAAUGAAUAAUUAUUAUUAUUUAUUUAUUCAUAAAGACACCUAUUGAAAGAUGUCUCUAUAAAGAGACAUGAAAAUUCCUAUAAAUAGGAAUGGGAUUUCAUUUGGAAAUCAUAUCAACAAAUUCUAAUAUUAUUUCUUCUCUUCCUUCAUUUUCUAAUAUUAUUAAAUUAUUCUAUAAAGUAUUGCUGCAGAAAUCCUUUGUAGAAAUUGAGUUUUUGUUAUACAUUACUCAGUGCAUAGUGGACUAUUCUCGUCAGUGCAAAACGCAAAUAGUCAUUGGCUUCAUUGUAUCCUCGAGGUUAAUUUGCUUGGAACUCGUUUGCACACUGAAGAUAAGUGGGGGCGAAUAUAACCUUAAAGAUAGUGGCUUGAUACACGCCUUGGAGCCUGUCCUAUUUCUUCUUUUUCUUUUCGAGUUCCGAUCGUGUGUUCGAGUUUUUUCCUUACCGGAGUUUUGUACUAACAGUUACUUCCAUGCCUAAAAAAUAGGCCAUCAACCCCAAGUCUGACAUUUCAAAAUGCUGUUGCAUUUUGGUUUUGAAAUUGAUCAGCAUCUCUUGAUUUCCUCCUGUCACCAAUAGAUCAUCGACAUAUAAUGACACAAUGAGCUGAGUUUCUGCCUUGGUCCUUUUGACAUACAAAGUUGGCUCGCUAAUACUCUUAUCGAAUCCCAGACUGAUCAAAUAACUGUCAAUCCUGCUGUACCAGGCUCUUGGAGCUUGUUUCAAGCCAUACAAGGCUUUGUUCAGCUUGUAUACCAUUUCUUCUUUGCCAGUCACUUCAAAGCCUUGAGGUUGUUCCACAUAAAUCUCUUCUUCUAGGAAUCCAUUGAGAAAUGCUGACUUUACAUCAAGCUGAUGUAUCUUUCACUGCCUUUGUGCUGCUAGUGCAACUACCAAUCUGAUGGUGUCAAGCCUGGCCACUGGUGCAAAAGUCUCCAGGUAGUCUGAUCCAAACCUCUGACUAUAGCCUUUGACAACCAACCUUGCCUUUAAUUUGUUUAAACUACCAUCAGCAUUCUGUUUAACUCGAUAAACCCAUUUAACUCCAAUAAUUUUCCUGUUUGCUGGUCUUUCAAUUAAAUUCCAGGUCUGAUUCUUUUCAAUCAUGCUGAUCUCUUCAAUCAUUGUCUGCUUCCAACCCUCCUGACUUUCUGCUUCUUCAAAACAACUUGGUUCAGCAAUGGCCACUUGUGCUCUUUCAUAAACAUCAAUCAAUGAUCGAGUCCCUCUGAUUGGUUCAUCAUCCACAUCCAUUUCAAAUGUGUCUUGAUCAGUUCCAACUUGAUCAGAUGCAAGUUCUUCAGUUACAGCUCCUGGUUCAUUUUUAUCCCAGUUCCAGCAUGCCUUCUCAUUGAACACAACAUCUCUACUCACAAGGAUCUUGUUUGUAGAGGGUUCCAGCAUUCUAUAGCCUUUUUAACUGUACUAUAGCCUAUCAGAAUCCCUGCUUGAGCUCUUUUAUCCAGCUUUCCUCUUUUCACAGCUGGAACUUGCGCAUAACAUAUGCAACCAAAGGUUCUGAGAUGAGCCAGUGAUGGCUUGAACCCAAACCAAGCUUCAAACGGAGUCUUCUGAGCUAGGGCCUUGGUUGGAAGUCUAUUUUGAAGAUAGAUUACUGUGUUUACUGCUUUAGCCCACAAGGUUUUAGGCAGAUUUUUUUCAAACAGGAGGCACAUUACUAUAUUCAUCAAGCUUAUGUUUUUUCUUUCACUGACCCCAUUUUGUUGAGGUGUAUAUACAUUAGUCAGCUGGUGUUUAAUACCUGUAUUUUCACAGUAAGCUUGAAACUGAGCUGAGGUAUACUUAGUUCCAUUAUCUGACCUUAGUGUCUUAAGUUUACAGCCAGCUUCAGUUUCCACAGCAACUUUAAACUUUAAAAACACAUGAGCCACUUCUGAUUUGUGUUUCAUAAAGUAAAUCCAGCAGUAUCUUGUAUGAUCAUCUAUGAAAAGAAUAAAGUACAUGUUCCCAUUAAGAGACUCGGUCUUCAUUGGUCCACACACAUCAGUGUGCACAAGCUGCAACUUCUCUGAUGCUCUCCAUGCUGUGUUUGCAGGAAAUGGAAGCCUUGCUUGCUUUCCAUAUUGACACACUUCACAAAUUUCAUCACCUUUCACUGUUUUGAUGAAAUUUUCAGCCAACUCUUCAUUAAUCAUCUGAGCCAUUGAUUUGAAGUUAACAUGUCCAAGCCUCUGGUGCCAUAGCUUGGAGUCAUCAAUAGAGGCAAUACAGGCUGAAUGUGAGUCAUUUGGCCAUUCCACUUCAAAGCACUUAUCAGUCAUGGUGACUGUCAUGAAAUUUGAUCCACUUCGAUAAAAAAUUUGGCAUUCUUUCUGCUUGAACACAACUGAGUAUCCUCUCUCUAGCAGUUGAGCUAUGCUAAGAAGGUUUCUAUUAAUUUCAGGCACUAAUAGCACAUUCGAGAUGACUUUGAUGCCUGCAGGAGUGUGUAUCUGUACAUCCCCUUUUCCUUCAGCCUUUAUAAACUGACCAUUUCCAAUUUUACUUUAGUUUUACAAGCUCUGUCCAAAGUUUUGAAAAUGGUUGCAUCUGGUGACAUGUGGUUUGUGCAUCCACUGUCCAACAACCAGCCUUUCGAGCUUUUCUUUUGGUUUGCUGAGCAUGACACAGCAAAAACUUGUUCUUCAUGAUCACUGCUAUCCUCAGCUACUCGAGCUUCUGCCUUUUGUUGCUGAAAUUGGUUCUGUCUCGGUUUGAUUUUAUUUUUGCAAACCUUUUCCACAUGCCCUUUCCUUUUGCAAUGCUGGCAUACAGCAUCUGGUCUGAACCAGCAAUCUGCUUCAGGAUAACCAGUCCUUUUGCAGUAUCUACAGGGUUGAUCUCUUUUCCUUGUGUUUUCAGACCUUGACUUGUCCCUCCAAGUCUUUUUACCUUUAUGAGCAAAGGUGCUCGAUGUUGGCUUGGCUUUUCUCCUUCUUGGUGCUCUUCUAGUCUGCUGGCCCUUCUUUGCUCUUGUGCAUACAAGGCAUUGAUUAACUCAGUUAGGGAGAUGGUUGUCAAGUCCCUUGAGUCCUCGAGAGAUGAGAUCUUUUCCUCAUACCUCUCAGGUAAUGUGGAUAUGACUUUCUCCACUAUUCUGGCUUCACCGAACUGCUCUCCUAGGAGCCUUAUGCUGUUUACAACAGCCAUAAUUCUGUCUGAAUACUGCUUCACUGUUUCUUCUUCUUUCAUCUUGAGAUUUUCAAAGUCCCUUCUCAAGUUGAGAAGCUGUUGUUGCCUUGUUCUCUCAGUCCCCUGAAACUCUUCUUUCAGCUUGUCCCAAGCCUCCUUUGGUGUUUCACAAGCCAUGAUUCUUGUGAAAAUCACAUCUGAAACACAAUUUUGUAUGCAUGACAUGGCCUUGUGCCUUUUUUUUCUUUCAUCAGCAUGUUGCCUUAUUUGAGCAAUUGUUGGAUUUGCUCUGAGAGGUGUUGGCUCAGCAUCAGAAUUAACUACCUCCCAUAGGUCGAAUUCUUGCAGGUAAGUCUUCAUUUUGACUACCCAAAUAUGAAAUCCUUCUCCAUUGAAGGUUGGUGGUGAAGCUGGUGAAAAACCUGAUGAAGCCAUGGUUUCUAGUACUGAACUACAACAGGUCCUCUAAGAAUAUGGCUCUAGAUACCAAUUGUUGGAGCUGAGAGCAACUAACAGCAAAUUUCAGCAAGAAACUUGAGCAGCAAGUGUCAUGACUUGCAGCAAAAACAAGCAAAAAACAAAACAGAACUUUUAAAGUAAAAGCAAGAAAAAAUGAAGAAAGUUUUUAAAUGAAAACUUGAUUACAUUUUCUUCAUUCAUUCAUUAUAUAAAUGGCUUAAAGCCAAUACAUAAAUCAAGCUUCUAGCUUGUUAAAAUAGUAGGUUAACCAAAACAAUACCUACCACCACUAGGUUUCCUAGUAAAUUGGAAUAAUAACUUGUACAAAUGAAUAAAGCUGGUGAACAGCUCAAUCACUAUCAAGAUUACAUCAAAUAUCAUCUUAUCAUAGUUCAAAGUGAACUAGAUUACAUUACAUAAACAAAAAAAUUCAAAAUGAAGCUAAACAUCAUUGCUUUCUCGUGCAAACUGUUGCUUCUGCAUGGUGGUCUUCAAUGCUGCAUGCUAACCACCUUUCAACAAUACUCAACCAAGUAUGAUGUUUAUAGUUUCGGAGUUCUACUUCUACAAAUUAUCAGUGGCAAGAGGAAUUCCAGUCUGUAUGGAUGCCAUGAAAACUUGAAUCUUCUAGAAUAUGUAAGUAACUUUGAGACACUUUUUUUUCUUCUCCAUUUUGCACACUUUUUUUUCAUCUCCAUUUUACAGUACGAAUAUUGUAAAAUUUAUAAUGUUGAGUGAUAAUAUCCAGGCAUACGAAUUGUGGAAACAAGGUCGAGAGGCAGAGUUUUUCGAUGCAUCACUGGAUGAUUCAUCUUCGUCAUGUAAGCUCAUUAGAUGUAUGCAAUUGGUACUGCUAUGUGUGCAGGAAAAUCCUGCAGAUAGGCCGUCAAUGGUAAAAGUUUUUACGAUUCUCAAGAACGAAAACAGUGUUGCAAUCUCUGUACCUAAGCAGCCUACAUAUUCAAUAACAAGAUACGAAAGGAAGGAAAGUAUAGACG
rnacentral:lncRNA from 1 species